rnacentral:rRNA from 1 species
CGAAGGGUGCAAGCGUUGUUCGGAAUUACUGGGCGUAAAGCGCGCGUAGGCGGCUUGAUAAGUUGGGAGUGAAAUCCCGGGGCUUAACUCCGGAAUUGCUUUCAAAACUGUCAAGCUGGAGUAUGGUAGGGGACAGUGGAAUUCCUAGUGUAGAGGUGAAAUUCGUAGAUAAUAGGAGGAACACCGGUGGCGAAAGCGACUGUCUGGACCAUUACUGACGCUGAGGCGCGAAAGCGUGGGGAGCAAACAGGAUUAGAUACCCUGGUAGUCCACACCGUAAACGAUGGGUGCUAGAUAUUGGGGCUUAAGCCUCAGUGUCGUAGCUAACGCGUUAAGCACCCCGCCUGGGGAGUACGGUCGCAAGAUUA